rnacentral:lncRNA from 10 species
GAGCAGCGGCGCCUUUCCCUGCGACUGGCUGUGUCGCCUGGAGCCCGGCGGCCGCCACCCCAGGGAGAAAGCUCCGGUGAGGGGAGCAGACGCUGGGACCCGUGGUCUCGCCCUCUGCUCUUUCCUGGCUGGGGACGGGGGUAGCUCCCAGGCAAAGGCCCUCCGGGGUCUCCGCCCGGGGGGCCCCACCUGCCUUGUGACGGCUGAGAUGUGCGCGUCCCACCCACUUUCCAAGGCGCCUUUGAAGUCGUUUCUCAUUAAAAAACAAGCUUUUUGAAUAACCAAAUGUUCCUUUGGCGCCCUCCAAUUUUAUUUUACUGUAAUCUAUUGAGUUGUAUUUGUUUUUCUGAAUCCGCUUCCUAGGAAAGCGCCCCCUCCCAUUUUAAACCGUUCUCAGGUGGUUUUUUCUGGAAGCAGCAGUGGUUUGUCCAGCAAGGAUUAACUCUUUGCCUUUUCCCGUCUAAACUUCUGAAGACACCUGACAGCUCGUUUUAACUCUGCAAACGACAGUUCAUCCUCCGGGGUGUGGAUUCGGGCUCCCACGGCUGCCGCCUGGGGCAAGUGCGUCUCCCCGGGCGCCUACGCGGCCCCGCGCGCUCCUGGCAGCGUCGCCCCCAAGCCAGCCCCGCCUACCCAGAGAGGGCCAGUCCUGUUCCGGGUCCCGAGGGCCUUGGGAACCCCACAGGUUCCUUCCUCCCGGGGUUUCCCAGCAGACCACACACAGAGAUGCGCUCCGGAACUUAGGGAACCAUGUAAAGGAACUUCCAACAGGACUGGGCCUUUUAUGCGUGUUUAUCUUAAACAUUUUAGGAAGCAAGUGGCAAAGUGCUUUAAAAGUAAAACUUAGAACGUCUGCACUAGCUGUUUGUGCAAACGAGUAUUUGCUAAGCAUUAUCCGAGACCUGAGAAUUGUUUCUUUAUGAUUUACUUAUAUGUGAUAAGUUCCCUUUGUAGAAAGAGACUAUAUUUAAUCAUAAAUAUAUCGUCAUAGGUACAAGGAUAAAAUUUAAGAAGAGAGGACUACAGAUCACUUUAACGCUAAAGGGAAUUGUAGUGAAGCAUGGAUGUUUUCCCAUUAAGGUGACUUUCUUCUGGGGUGUGUGUGUGUGUGUGUGUUUAGUUUUUUGUGCCUUUAUGUUUCUAUCAGUUUGUCUUUCCCAGUGAAAAUUAAUUCAAAUGUGUCUUCAUUGAUAUAUUUCAAGUGUUGUGCGCUGAACAUUGAGUCAGAAUAAUUUGAUUAAGGUUCAAUGAUAAAACCACUCUGUCUCACUGAUUUUAAUUAAACUGGAAUCUGAAAAACACAUGCAUUCAAUAUAGUGGCCAUUAUUUUUAAUUCUAAACAAACUUUUUUGGUUUUGAGCCAAUAUUUUUAGUUCUAAACCAACAUUUUUGGUUGGUUUAGUUCUAAACCAACAUGUUGAAACCUUGGGAGGUUUUCGCAUUUUCCAGAGUGAGAACUGCUUGCAUUGACUUCCCGGAAUGUGUAGUACCAGACCCUCAACCUUAAAAGAAGUUCCAUUCUUCUCCACUUCUCUCUUCUCCCCAGGACCCAUGACUUUACACUUCAAUAUUUCUGCAGGGCUCACAGUUCACUGAGAGGUAAGUGAAAGUCAAGAACCACUGGAAGACAAUGAAAAUUUCAUUC